UUGGAGGGCAAGUCUGGUGCCAGCAGCCGCGGUAAUUCCAGCUCCAAUAGCGUAUAUUAAAGUUGUUGCAGUUAAAAAGCUCGUAGUUGAAUUUCGGGAUUGACGUGAUGGUCGUGCCUUACGGGGUAUGAACUGUUGCUGUUGAUUUCUCACCUUCUGGAGAAACUUGAUGUCCUUAAUUGGGUGUCUUGCGGAUCCAGGACCUUUACCUUGAAAAAAUUAGAGUGUUUAAAGCAGGCAUUUUGCUCGAAUACAUUAGCAUGGAAUAAUAGAAUAGGACGGCAUGGUUCUAUUUUGUUGGUUUCUAGGAUCACCGUAAUGAUUAAUAGGGAUAGUUGGGGGCAUUAGUAUUCAAUUGUCAGAGGUGAAAUUCUUGGAUUUAUUGAAGACUAACUACUGCGAAAGCAUUUGCCAAGGAUGUUUUCAUUAAUCAAGAACGAAAGUUAGGGGAUCGAAGACGAUCAGAUACCGUCGUAGUCUUAACCAUAAACUAUGCCGACUAGGAAUCAGACGAUGUUAAUUUUUUAAUGACUCGUUCGGCGCCUUACGGGAAAC
rnacentral:rRNA from 1 species